GACGAACGCUGGCGGCGUGCUUAACACAUGCAAGUCGAACGGUGAAGCUCCAGCUUGCUGGAGUGGAUCAGUGGCGAACGGGUGAGUAACACGUGAGUAACCUGCCCCUGACUCUGGAAUAAGCGCUGGAAACGGCGUCUAAUACUGGAUACGAGAAGGGUCCGCAUGGGCACUUUCUGGAAAGCUUUUCGGUUGGGGAUGGGUUCGCGGCUUAUCAGCUUGUUGGUGAGGUAGUGGCUCACCAAGGCGACGACGGAUAGCCGGCCUGAGAGGGCGGCCGGCCACACUAGUCCUGAGACACGGCCCAGACUCGUACGGGAGGCAGCAGGGGGGAAUAUUGCACAAUGGGCGAAAGCCUGAUGCAGCGACGCCGCGUGUGGGAUGACGGCCUUCGGGUUGUAAACCUCUUUCAGCAGGGAAGAAGCGAAAGUGACGGUACCUGCAGAAGAAGCACCGGCUAACUACGAG
rnacentral:rRNA from 1 species